CACAAAUAUGGGAGGGCUACAUGGGAAGCAUGGUAGUAAAAUUGGCCAUAAAACAGGUGGUGAAAAUAUAUAUGCUGGUGUUACAGGAAAAAUCAAAUUGACACCGGACCAACAUCGCAUCAACAUCUUAGGACUCAGUGUAACUUAACAACUGAAGAGAUCAUGUGGGGAAAUCUGACGGCAUUGACUGUUUGCCUUUUAGGCACAGUAUUCAUAUGUGGAGUUAGCAGCACCACAACACCACCAGGGGUUCCAACAACCCCGGCUCCAGGUAGUACAGUGAAACCGACAACCAUCGUUCCAUCAACAACACCAGAGAUUCCAACAACGAAAACGACAACAGAGAAUCCAGCAACGGAACCGCCAACAGCGAAUCCAGCAACGAACCCGACAUCAGAGAAUCCGACAUCAGCAAAUCCAACAAAGCCUACGACAUCCGAAGGCACCCAGAAACCACACACCACCGACGCGGGGCAGGAGCCGGCGCCAGAGGGGCUGAGCGAUGGGGCAAUCGCAGGAAUUGCCGUCGGUUCAAUCGCCGGUGCGGCUGCCUUGGGUGGCGGUAUCUUUGGUCUGCUGAAGUACACUGGAAAGAUUUGAGGAGGGUUGAUUAGUGUUUUAAUAGUAGGUUUGAUGACCUUUGCUCUAUUGUUCGAUAUUUCAAAGAGUUCUAUGAUUUCCUGCUAUCAAUGCCUCCCUUGAAGAAACAUCUGACUUCAAUGCCAUAUAUUUUCAAAAUAUAAUUUAAUAUAUAAUUUAAAUAAUACGCAAAUACAGAGCUCGAAGUCCAUUGUUUGACAGGAUGUUUCAUGUCAAUGCAUGUAUAUAUUAGUUUUUUUAUAUCGUCAUUUUGGAAUUCUCUUGGGUGUCUGGGGAUUAUUUCAGGGGAACAUCUGUUUUAACGUUGGUUCUUACAGGCUACAGCUUAAUAUGUAGCCCAAAUAAAAUGUUAAAAUAUGAUUAAAAUGUUAACACAAUAAGCAACAAAUCA